rnacentral:rRNA from 1 species
UGGUGGAGUGAUUUGUCUGGUUAAUUCCGUUAACGAACGAGACCUCGACCUGCUAAAUAGUUGGGCGAAUUCUUCGGGAUUCGUGUUCAUAACUUCUUAGAGGGACUAUCGGUGCGUAGCCGAUGGAAGUUCGAGGCAAUAACA